rnacentral:rRNA from 1 species
GAUGAACGCUAGCUACAGGCUUAACACAUGCAAGUCGAGGGACCGGCGCACGGGUGAGUAACACGUAUCCAACCUGCCCUUUACUCGGGGAUAGCCUUUCGAAAGAAAGAUUAAUACCCGAUAUAAAGGAUGGGGAUGCGUUCCAUUAGGUUGUUGGUGAGGUAACGGCCCACCAAGUCUUCGAUGGAUAGGGGUUCUGAGAGAAAGGGCACCCACAUUGGAACGGAGACACGGUCCAAACUCCUAGGGGAGGCAGCAGUGAGGAAUAAUGGUCAAAGGGCGCGAGCCUGAACCAGCCAAGUAGCGUGAAGGAUGAAGGCUUAUGGGGCGUAAACUUCUUGUAUAAAAGAAUAUGUAUUAUAUGAAUAAGGAUCGGCUAACUCCGUGCCAGCCGCCGCGGUAAUAC